rnacentral:rRNA from 1 species
UACGUAGGGGGCAAGCGUUGUCCGGAAUCAUUGGGCGUAAAGAGCGCGUAGGCGGCCCUGUAAGUCCGCUGUGAAAGUCAAGGGCUCAACCCUUGAAUGCCGGUGGAUACUGCAGGGCUAGAGUCCGGAAGAGGCGAGUGGAAUUCCUGGUGUAGCGGUGAAAUGCGCAGAUAUCAGGAGGAACACCGGUGGCGAAAGCGGCGGACUGGACCUCUUCUGACGCUGAGGCGCGAAAGCCAGGGGAGCAAACGGG